ensembl:lncRNA
CACAGAGCUGCUGAGGAUCCAGUUCGCUCACAUAUUUCAAAAGCCUUAAGAAGAGAUAGAAGGGUUUCUUAUCCAGCAUUAGUGUCUGAAUCUGGAAUCAUUUCUAUGGAAACUGGACGUCUUUUUAGACCUUAAAUUUAUUCUCAGGUAGUCAGGUUUAAACUCAGGUUCAGUUAUUCACUGGAAAUUCAAACAGACUCAGACAUUUAGAACAAACUAAGAACCUCGGUGCUGGAGGAAAUGUCUGCCGUGACUGCAUCACUCUGCUCAACUUUGCUGUUAGUCAACCUCUGCAUGUUUACCUCUGCAGACCGGAAAAUCAUCACAGCUGAGUCUGGACAGGACGUCACUCUAAUAUGUCGAGUUACAAACAACAACAUCAUAGGAGCUGUAAAGUGGACCAGACCAGGCCUGGAGACAGGAAAUGUCCUUUUGUACAACGAUGAUUACUUUGAUUCAUCCAACCAGCAUCCAUCUUUUAAGAACCGGGUGGAUCUGCAGGACAGACAGAUGAAGGAUGGAGACGUGUCUUUGAUUCUGAAGCAUGUGACGAUUAAUGACACUGGAACAUACGAGUGUCGUGUCUUCAUGGAAGAAACACGCUCAUGGGAGCUCAUCAGGAUCAUCUACCUGAGAGUUGUUCCUCCAGGUCAGCCAAGAGGAGUCACAGAGGAUGGAGGGAAGAAGGAAGAAGGGAAGAAGGAAGGAGGGAAGAAGGAUGAAUCUGUUGGACUAAACAAUCUACUUUUCCUGGUAGUUUCUGCUGUGCCCGUUGUUGUUAGUGGUAGUAUUACUGUUGUUGUUGGUAUUAUUUUUCUUCCUGUUUUUAUGAUGUGCAAAUAUUGUAAUGACAAGGGUUCAUACAAGGUACCUGAACGUGAUUACAUCUAGUGAUCAACUAUCCUACAUUCAUCGGCAGAUUAAUUUAGAUGUCAGACAUUCAGAAAACACAAACACUGUAUGUGAUGAUCUGGGUGUAGAUGAAGUUCUGUGGCUUAUAUGUGAUCAACAAUGUGCCUGAUAAUGUUCAGGAUUGAUCAGCUAUGACUGAAUGACAUUUGGGACAGUUUGGGAAUUAUAAGGGUCGUAUAAAGAAGUGUUGUUGUUUUUUUUAAAAAAAAUCUUGGUCUAAAAUAUGAACUCUGUGUGACAAUCCCCUCUUUAGGUGAAGGUUUUUUGUUUCCUUUUUUAGUGAAUAAGCUUGCAUAAUUGUUUCAGUCAGUCCAGUAAGGUUGAAUCUUAUAGAGUGUUUAAAGUGUUUUAUGAAAGUGAAGCUCCAUGUAGUUUCACACUGACACUUUUCUCUCUCUAAUCUCUUGAUAACCUCUUAUGUAACUUUUCUUACAAGAAAGCUAUAUAAUAAUUUAUAUUAUAAUUGCAGCAUUGCUUAAACUUUUCGUUUUCAAUUAAUAUUUACAUGUAAACCAAAUGAACGUCCUUUUUGUACAUAUUUUUGUGAUGUAUCGUGAUGUGAAAUCUUUUAUUUAUUUUUAAUGAGAAACUGAAGUGUAGCAGAGAUCUUUGUGAGCUUCUCCCUGUAAUAACCUGGUAACAACAAUAAAAAUAAGAACAAAAUGUUAAAGUGGAUCAAAGUAUGAAAGAUGACUCAAUUUUCAGCAAUAACUCUCAUCUGUUCUCUAGUUUUGUUUCUACUUUCUCCAGAAAAUGUUAUUUGCUGCAUUGAUUGACUUCAGAGAUGAUUCCUACUCAGAAAAAAGAAAGUGUUUAAGAAAUUUUCAUAACCAUUUAAGUUGGUUUUCCACUUCUUCUGGCGUGAAUAUGAAUAUAUUCUUCACUGCAGCAGCCUAGUAGGCGUGAGAAGCCAUUUUUGUUGAUUAAGUUUUCUCCUGUUUUUCAUUUAGAAAGUUAGCUAAGUGAAUUGUCUUUUGUUUGGUUUUCAUUUUGUGUAGGAAAGCGUAGGGACCAUAAGGGAGUUUUGUUUGUUAUUUUCGGCACUGCUCACUGCUGAAGCAAAUAAAUGGCUGCU